CUCACUUCCUGGCCUUUCACUUCCUCCUCUGCUCUCCAUUCGGUGGUCCAUGGUGGCUGAGGUGAUUGCGAUGAGCUCCAUUGUUUCGCCAUAAGCAAGUAAAGCCUUCAGCGGAUCCUGAACACAUCACCGGCGCACCACAGAUGCUCCAGUGAGCACAGAGCCUCCUCGUCUUUCUCCUCACUGGGAGGACGCUCGCUGUUCGGGACCUGUGGCUCAACUCUGGACAGUAAGAUAAGUGCAGGAACACUGUUGCUUCGCCUUCCCUCGUUGUGCGGUGGCUGUUUUGCUUGGGACUGCCCUGUCGCCCUGCUACAUAGACUAUAGCUGCUUCGCCCGCUGCUCUCUGCUUCGCUUCCUACUUCGCUCGCUAUCGUGACUGUUUUCUGCAAGUUACUGCUCGGCCCCCGGUCUUUGUCCCUGAGCGGCCGGCUCCAGCGGCAGUUGCCUAGUCGGGACUGUGUGUGGAUGAGUGAGUGUUUGUGAGGACCGAGGGGGUGGAUGAAUGGUCAUACAACACUAACUGGCUGUGCGUGGAUGAGCGUGAGUGUGUGUGUAAGGGGGGUUGUAUGGGAUCAGGUAAUUUUGUUUUCUUUGAGUGUUGUAUAUUUUUUUGGAAUUAAUUGGUUGGUCAUUUAUCAUUUAGUUUGCAUGUUAAUUGAAUGAUUAUGUCCAUUUGAUUUUGUAUCUCUGGCCAGAGACCCUGUUUCUUUGCUUACUCUUGUUUGUUUGUUUUUUGGUUUUGUUACGUUACCAAUUAUGAAAUAGUCUAAUGAUUUUUGUUUCCUAUUUUCUAUUUGAGUUUCAGCCCUAGGCUGUUAGUAUUUUGUGUUAGGACAUUUGUUAUAAUUCUUUUUACGAUUUUUGUACUUGCAUAUUGUGUUACUGAUUGUGUUCUCCCCCCUCCCUUUAGUUGCUGAGAGCCAACGGUGGUGGUGUCCUGGGUGGUGGUUUCCUUUCGUGUGUUGUGUGAUCCUGGAUUUUGGUUUUCUUUGCACUUCAUCUUUUUUUUGCUGUGUGCCAUGUACAAGUGGGGUGCUCCUUAUUUAAUUUGGACUUCCUUCCCCCAGUUUUCCCCUCACUACUGGUAAGCCUUAGCACUGGAGCAGGGUGUUAGCACUUUAGUUCUCUUUUGUCAUUUUUAAUGUAUUGUGACCAACUAAAUAAAUUUGUUAAAUAUUUGUUAAACAUUGAA